ACAACGACUCUCGACAACGGAUAUCUCGGCUCUCGCAUCGAUGAAGAACGUAGCGAAUGCGAUACUUGGUGUGAAUUGCAGAAUCCAAGGAACCAUCGAGUCUUGAACGCAAGUGCCCCGAGCCAUUAGGCUGAGGGCACGUCUGCCUGGUGUCAUGCAUCACUUGC
rnacentral:rRNA from 1 species